UAAUACGUAGGUGGCAAGCGUUGUCCGGAUUUAUUGGGCGUAAAGCGAGUGCAGGCGGUUCAAUAAGUCUGAUGUGAAAGCCUUCGGCUCAACCGGAGAACUGCAUCAGAAACUGUUGAACUUGAGUGCAGAAGAGGAGAGUGGAACUCCAUGUGUAGCGGUGGAAUGCGUAGAUAUAUGGAAGAACACCAGUGGCGAAGGCGGCUCUCUGGUCUGCAACUGACGCUGAGGCUCGAAAGCAUGGGUAGCGAACAGGAUUAGAUACCCUGGUAGUCCAUGCCGUAAACGAUGAGUGCUAAGUGUUGGGAGGUUUCCGCCUCUCAGUGCUGCAGCUAACGCAUUAAGCACUCCGCCUGGGGAGUACGACCGCAAGGUUG
rnacentral:rRNA from 1 species